rnacentral:RNase_P_RNA from 1 species
GGAGUCGGUCGGGCGGUCGCUGUCCGCAGUAGCGGAGGGAGGAAAGUCCGGGCUCCAAAGGGCAGGGCGCCAGGUAAUGCCUGGGAGGCGUGAGCCUACGGAAAGUGCCACAGAAAAUAUACCGCCUGGCAGCUUUAAGUUGUCAGGUAAGGGUGAAAUGGUGCGGUAAGAGCGCACCGCGUUAUCGGCAACGAUAGCGGCAGGGUAAACCCCGCCCGGAGCAAGACCAAAUAGGGGAGCAUUGGGUUCGCCCCAUACGCGUGGCCCGCGCGGUUCCCGGGUAGGUUGCUUGAGGCACUUGGUGACAAGUGUCCCAGAUGAAUGACUGUCCUAGACAGAACCCGGCUUACAGACCGGCUCCACUU